UGGGGAAUUUUGGACAAUGGGCGAAAGCCUGAUCCAGCAAUGCCGCGUGUGUGAAGAAGGCCUUCGGGUUGUAAAGCACUUUUGUCCGGAAAGAAAUCCUUGGCUCUAAUACAGUCGGGGGAUGACGGUACCGGAAGAAUAAGCACCGGCUAACUACGUGCUAGCAGCCGCGGUAAUACGUAGGGUGCAAGCGUUAAUCGGAAUUACUGGGCGUAAAGCGUGCGCAGGCGGUUUGCUAAGACCGAUGUGAAAUCCCCGGGCUCAACCUGGGAACUGCAUUGGUGACUGGCAGGCUAGAGUAUGGCAGAGGGGGGUAGAAUUCCACGUGCAGCAGUGAAAUGCGUAGAGAUGUGGAGGAAUACCGAUGGCG
rnacentral:rRNA from 1 species